CAUCCUAGGACGACUUCUGGAGACAGAUUUCUUCCCUUCGGGGACCGUAGUGACAGGUGCUGCAUGGCUGUCGUCAGCUCGUGUCGUGAGAUGUUGGGUUAAGUCCCGCAACGAGCGCAACCCUCGUCCUUAGUUGCCAUCAUUAAGUUGGGCACUUUAAGGAAACUGCCGGUGAUAAGCCGGAGGAAGGUGGGGAUGACGUCAAGUCCUCAUGGCCCUUACAGGCUGGGCUACACACGUGCUACAAUGGCAUCUACAGUGGGCAGCUAUUCCGCAAGGAUGCGCUAAUCUCCAAAAGAUGUCUCAGUUCGGAUUGUCCUCUGCAACUCGAGGGCAUGAAGGCGGAAUCGCUAGUAAUCGCGGAUCAGCAUGCCGCGGUGAAUACGUUCCCAGGCCUU
rnacentral:rRNA from 1 species